AAUCAACGCUGGCGGCGUGCCUCAGACAUGCAAGUCGAACGAUUAAGACUUCCUUCGGGAAGUGUAUAAAGUGGCGCACGGGUGAGUAACACGUAGGUAAUGUGCCUUUGGGUGGGGAAUAACUUAGGGAAACUUAAGCUAAUACCGCAUAAUGCAGCGGCUCGACAUCGAGACAGUUGUUAAAGGAGUAAUCCGCCUAAAGAGCAGCCUGCGGCAGAUUAGCUAGUUGGUAAGGUAAUGGCUUACCAAGGCUACGAUCUGUAACCGGCCUGAGAGGGUGGUCGGUCACACUGACACUGAAUAACGGGUCAGACUCCUACGGGAGGCAGCAGUGGGGAAUAUUGGAAAAUAGGCGCAAGCCUGAUCCAGCCAUGCCGCGUGAGUGAUGAAGGCCCUAGGGUUGUAGAGCUCUUUCACCGGUGAAGAUAAUGACGGUAACCGGAGAAGAAGCCCCGGCUAACUUCGUGCCAGCAGCCGCCGUAAGAC
rnacentral:rRNA from 1 species